rnacentral:rRNA from 1 species
GAUUAACGCUAGCGGCGUGCAUAAUGCAUGCAAGUCGAACGGUUCUGAUUUAUCAGGACAGUGGCAAACGGGUGCGUAAUACGUAGGUAACCUGCCCUUAAGUGGGGAAUAAUUCGCCGAAAGGUGGACUAAUACCGCAUGUGGUCCUUUUUCACAAGCAGAAGGAUUAAAGCCGCAAGGCGCUUGAGGAGGGGCUUACGUCCUAUCAGGUUGUUGGUGGGGUAACGGCUCACCAAGCCUAUGACGGGUAGCUGGUCUGAGAGGACGACCAGCCACAUUGGGACUGAGACACGGCCCAGACUCCUACGGGAGGCAG